rnacentral:rRNA from 1 species
UACGUAGGUGGCAAGCGUUGUCCGGAUUUACUGGGUGUAAAGGGCGUGUAGGCGGAGAUGCAAGUCAGAAGUGAAAUCCCGGGGCUCAACCCCGGAACUGCUUUUGAAACUGUAUCCCUUGAGUGUCGGAGAGGCAAGCGGAAUUCCUAGUGUAGCGGUGAAAUGCGUAGAUAUUAGGAGGAACACCAGUGGCGAAGGCGGCUUGCUGGACGAUAACUGACGCUGAGGCGCGAAAGCGUGGGGAGCAAACAGG